GCACCACCUAACCACAGGAGAAAGGCAAAACCUAGUUCUGACAGUCACCUACGUGUGUGUUAUAGUACGGGCAGCUGAGGCAGAGAAAAGUUAACUUAAAUCCUUCAGUUGCUGGCAUUUCAACAAGCAAUCCUCAUAACCAUUCAGGGAUGAAGCAGCAGAGGGCCUUCAACCAAGAGGAGAAAGGGCAGGGGAGAUUGAGAGCUGACCUGAGCUAAGAGCCCCUACAUUGAACUUCAAGGCUAAGAAGAGGGAGGCAAUUUCUGCCUAGAAGGACCUUAUGGUGAGCUUGAGGCUCUUCCCUGUCUGAUAAAAUUCAGAAUCCUCUGCUCAGGCCCCAAUCCUCUCUCUCCUCUAAUCUCCCUCUCAGUUAUUUCCUACUUUGGUAACCCCCAAGAGAAAAGCAACCUGAAUACUAAGCAGGAGCAGCAAAGAGCACAUCUGCUCUAACCUCUGUGUGACCCCGAUGCUGUAGCUGGGGAGACAUUUCAAGCAAGGAAGCUGUUGGCGUCAGUCUCCCUUGACGCCAGCAGGAAGGUGGAGCCCAGAAGCAGAUUUGUGGCUGACAGUCAUUUCCCCCAACAAGAAAGUCCCAGGAGGGCCAGGAAGCCAUUCCAACUGGAAAAAAUGUUUACUCAACAGCAUCAUGUGAAUUCUUAACCCACCUUGUCUGCACUA